GAUGAACGCUGACAGAAUGCUUAACACAUGCAAGUCAACUGUGGCGGACGGGUGAGUAACGCGUAAAGAACUUGCCUCCCAGCUAGGGACAACAUUUGGAAACGAAUGCUAAUACCUGAUACUGUGAGAGAGCUUUGCGUCCCAUUAGCUAGUUGGAGAGGUAACGGCUCACCAAGGCGAGGAUGGGUAGCCGGCCUGGGAGGGUGAUCGGCCACAAGGGGAAUGAGAAACGGCCCUGACUACUACGUGAGGAAGCAGGGGAGAAUAUGGGACAAUGGACCAAAGUCUGUUCCAGCAAUUCUGUGUGAACGAUGAAGUUUUCGGAAUGUAAAGAGCUUUCAGUAGGGAAGCGGUACCAACAGAAGAAGUGACGGCUAAAUACGUGCCAGCAGCCGCGGUAAUAC
rnacentral:rRNA from 1 species